UUGAACGCUGGCGGCAGGCCUAACACAUGCACGUCGAACGGUAACAGGAAGAAGCUUGCUUCUUUGCUGACGAGUGGCGGACGGGUGAGUAAUGUCUGGGAAACUGCCUGAUGGAGGGGGAUAACUACUGGAAACGGUAGCUAAUACCGCAUAACGUCGCAAGACCAAAAAGGGGGACCUUCGGGCCUCUUGCCAUCGGAUGUGCCCAGAUGGGAUUAGCUAGUAGGUGGGGUAACGGCUCACCUAGGCGACGAUCCCUAGCUGGUCUGAGAGGAUGACCAGCCACACUGGAACUGAGACACGGUCCAGACUCCUACGGGAGGCAGCAGUGGGGAAUAUUGCACAAUGGGCGCAAGCCUGAUGCAGCCAUGCCGCGUGUAUGAAGAAGGCCUUCGGGUUGUAAAGUACUUUCAGCGGGGAGGAAGGGAGUAAAGUUAAUACCUUUGCUCAUUGACGUUACCCGCAGAAGAAGCACCGGCUAACUCCGUG
rnacentral:rRNA from 1 species